rnacentral:tRNA from 1 species
GGCCAGUUAGCUCCGUGGUUUGAGCGCGGUACUGACAACAAUGACCGACACCGAGGUCGCGGGUUCAAUUCCCGCUCCGUCCC